UGACAAAAUGGCUGAUAAAGGCAUGGAACUGUAAAUUCUUUUAUAAACAUUGUUUUUUUGUUAA
rnacentral:tRNA from 1 species